GUAUGUACAUGCCUAGAGAGUUAAUGCACUAGAUUCCAUUAGAAAUACCCAGUUAAGUGCACUUGGGAUAGAGUGGUACUGGGAUGGGUGAACGCCCGAGAAAUUCUAGUGUUUUACAUGCC
rfam:Picea glauca, whole genome shotgun sequence.